rnacentral:rRNA from 1 species
CAAGUCGAGUGCGCGCCUGUAGCAAUACAGGUGGCGCACGGCGCACGGGUGCGUAACACGUGGGUAAUCUGCCCUUCGAUGGGGAAUAACCUCGCGAAAGCGAGGCUAAUUCCGCAUAACAUUCCGAGAACUUCGGUUUUUGGAUUCAAAGGCGUAAGUCGUCGGAGGAGGAGCCCGCGCACGAUUAGCUAGUUGGUAGGGUAAUGGCCUACCAAGGCUAUGAUCGUUAGCUGGUCUGAGAGGAUGGCCAGCCACACUGGAACUGAGACACGGUCCAGACUCCUACGGGAGGCAGCAGUGGGGAAUCUUGCACAAUGGGCGAAAGCCUGAUGCAGCGACGCCGCGUGGGGGAUGAAGCUUCUCGGAGUGUAAACCCCUUUCGACCCGGACGAAUGCCCCGCAAGGGGACUGACGGUACGGGUAUAAGAAGCCCCGGCUAACUACGUGCCAGCAGCCGCGGUAAGACGUAGGGGGCCAGCGUUGCUCGGAAUUACUGGGUGUAAAGGGUUCGUAGGCGGUGUAGCAAGUUGGGAGUGAAAUCUCUGGGCUCAACCCAGAGGCUGCUUCCAAAACUGCUGUGCUUGAGUGUGGGAGAGGCGCGUGGAAUUGCAGGUGUAGCGGUGAAAUGCGUAGAUAUCUGCAGGAACACCCGUGGCGAAAGCGGCGCGCUGGACCACUACUGACGCUGAGGAACGAAAGCUAGGGAAGCAAACAGGAUUAGAUACCCUGGUAGUCCUAGCCCUAAACGAUCAGGACUUGGGGUGCCACCCGUUCGGGUGUCGUCCCGGAGCUAACGCGUUAAGUCCUGCACCUGGGGGAGUACGGUCGCAAGACUGAAACUCAAAGGAAUUGACGGGGGCCCGCACAAGCGGUGGAACAUGUGGUUCAAUUCGACGCUACGCGAGGAACCUUACCUGGGCUCGAACGCACUUGACUAGCU